UACGAAGGGGGCUAGCGUUGUUCGGAUUUACUGGGCGUAAAGCGCACGUAGGCGGAUUGUUAAGUCGGGGGUGAAAUCCUGGAGCUCAACUCCGAAACUGCAUUUGAUACUGCGGUGCUUGAGGACUGGAGAGGAGAUUGGAAUUUACGGUGUAGCAGUGAAAUGCGUAGAUAUCGUAAGGAAGACCAGUGGCGAAGGCGAAUCUCUGGACAGUUACUGACACUGAGGCACGAAGGCCAGGGGAGCAAACGGG
rnacentral:rRNA from 1 species